rnacentral:rRNA from 1 species
GACGAACGCUGGCGGCGUGCUUAACACAUGCAAGUCGAACGGUAAGGCCCUUCGGGGUACACGAGUGGCGAACGGGUGAGUAACACGUGGGUGAUCUGCCCUGCACUUCGGGAUAAGCCUGGGAAACUGGGUCUAAUACCGGAUAGGACCACUGCCUGCAUGGGUGGUGGUGGAAAGCUUUUGCGGUGUGGGAUGGGCCCGCGGCCUAUCGGCUUGUUGGUGGGGUGAUGGCCUACCAAGGCGACGACGGGUAGCCGGCCUGAGAGGGUGACCGGCCACACUGGGAGUGAGAUACGGCCCAGACUCCUACGGGAGGCAGCAGUGGGGAAUAUUGCACAAUGGGCGCAAGCCUGAUGCAGCGACGCCGCGUGAGGGAUGACGGCCUUCGGGUUGUAAACCUCUUUCAGCACCGACGAAGCGCAAGUGACGGUAGGUGCAGAAGAAGGACCGGCCAACUACGUGCCAGCCGCCGCGGUAA